CUCUCUGGGUGACGAGCGGCGGACGGGUGAGUAAUGUCUGGGAAACUGCCUGAUGGCGGGGGAUAACUAGUGGAAACGGUAGCUAAUACCGCAUAACGUCGCAAGACCAAAGUGGGGGACCUUCGGGCCUCACGCCAUCAGAUGUGCCCAGGUGGGAUUAGCUGGUAGGUGGGGUAACGGCUCACCUAGGCGACGAUCCCUAGCUGGUCUGAGAGGAUGACCAGCCACACUGGAACUGAGACACGGUCCAGACUCCUACGGGAGGCAGCAGUGGGGAAUAU
rnacentral:rRNA from 1 species